GAUGAAGAACGCAGCGAAAUGCGAUAAGUAAUGUGAAUUGCAGAAUUCAGUGAAUCAUCGAGUCUUUGAACGCACAUUGCGCCCCCUGGUAUUCCGGGGGGCAUGCCUGUCCGAGCGUCAUUGCUGCCCUCAAGCACGGCUUGUGUGUUGGGCCCCCGCCCCCCGGCUUCGGGGGGCGGGCCCGAAAGGCAGCGGCGGCACCGCGUCCGGUCCUCGAGCGUAUGGGGCUUCGUCACCCGCUCUGUAGGCCCGGCCGGCGCCCGCCGGCGACCCCAAUCAAUCUUUCCAGGUUGACCUCGGGUCAGGUAGGGAUACCCGCUGAACUUAAGCAUAUCAAUAAGCGGAGGA
rnacentral:misc_RNA from 1 species